UUUCUGUGCUGGAGUCUUUGGGUCCUCAACUCCGAUGAAAGUGGAGGAUGUAGAGAGAAUGGAGUACUCCAUGACGAUUGAUGAUGGAGACGCUUUAGAAGAAUCUGUACCCUUCGCAGACAUUUAUGAUGAGGGAAAUCGGAGGUUCCUGUCGAUGGUGCGAUGGAGCCCCACCCCCCUGAGGGGUACGAAACGAAAGCUUUCGUUUGACAGUACUCCAAUCAAUUACGCCAUGGUGGAAAAGCCUAUGGAGUUCGUAUUCAGAUUUUCUCUGCGGAGACCAAAAAGUUGCAAGGAUUGUCCCCAAGAUAAACUAGCGCCCAUCCCGAUCACAUGCGGCUAUGUGUUGUCAGUGGUGGUUGAAAUUUGGUAC